UAGGGAAUCUUCGGCAAUGGGGGCAACCCUGACCGAGCAACGCCGCGUGAGUGAAGAAGGUUUUCGGAUCGUAAAGCUCUGUUGUAAGAGAAGAACGUGUGUGAGAGUGGAAAGUUCACACUGUGACGGUAACUUACCAGAAAGGGACGGCUAACUACGUGCCAGCAGCCGCGGUAAUACGUAGGUCCCGAGCGUUGUCCGGAUUUAUUGGGCGUAAAGCGAGCGCAGGCGGUUUAAUAAGUCUGAAGUUAAAGGCAGUGGCUUAACCAUUGUUCGCUUUGGAAACUGUUAAACUUGAGUGCAGAAGGGGAGAGUGGAAUUCCAUGUGUAGCGGUGAAAUGCGUAGAUAUAUGGAGGAACACCGGUGGCGAAAGCGGCUCUCUGGUCUGUAACUGACGCUGAGGCUCGAAAGCGUGGGGAGCAAACAGG
rnacentral:rRNA from 1 species